rnacentral:lncRNA from 1 species
UUUCAAAACACAAUAAUGCAAUCUAAGUCUUUUACAUAUAUUUUGAACAUCUAGAGUCACCACAAAUGAUCUAUCUUUCAUACUUGAGGUGCCGAGCUUCCCGAAUGAGUCUUUGAUCUCCAAAUUGAAUCUUCUCUCCAAAACUUCACUUUUAACUCUUCAAGACUCCAUUCGACUUCAUGAAAUUCGCCAACUUAGAAAAUCCUUAACAAUCUCCCUCUUUGUCGAUUUCGUGACAAAACAUAUUACAAUGCUCAUACAAACCUCAAAAAUAGUAAAAAGAAGAUUAUCGCAAUCACCAAACGACAAUCUCCUGCAUGACCGAUCCAAUAAAAAAAAAUUACAUUUUUCUCACAAUCCUAAUACAAACUCUAUGACUUAGACAUGGAGUCUUGAAGUCUUGAAAGUUCCUGCAAAAAUAUU